UGGAGAGGCUGUUUGGGCCUGGUAAAGUCAGAUGCAUCCACCAUACUUGGAUAGAAAUACUUUUUUUUUUUUCUCUCUUCGUUCCUUUUUUUUUUUUUUCAGGGCAAGUGAGAAGCAAACCCCAUGGAUAUUGUUUAAUUUUGAUGCUUUUUUUGUUUUCUGUUUGAAGAAACAGCAAUGGCUGUACCUGGUUCUGUGUGCUGCACAGUUGCCCUAAUCAAGGCCAGAACAACUUCAGGCAGGAGGAGGCCUCCACAGGUGCUUGGCGUGUGUGGCCUCAAGGCGCCUGGCCUACAGCUUCCCUCAGGGCAGGGGUGCCCUCAGCCCUGUGGGUCGGCGGUGGAUGCAGGAGCAGCACUGCUCAGCUGGCUGUGUGGAACCAGGACGAGGUGAGUGCACAGCAGCCAUAACUGGGCUGGUUUUUCUGUUCUUCAGUUGCAUAAAAUAGCCAGUGUUACCUUGCUGAUGGUUGUGUUGAAGUGAAAGGUUUUCUUCAGCAGAUGGCAGGCACUGCAGUGGAGCUGCGGUGCUCCGUGCUUGUGGUAAGGUGAGGAGUGGCGGUUCCUCACUGCUGGCGAUGGGGAUGGGGCACAGUGGGAGUGGCAGGGUGUGGCUCUCAGGUGUUACCUACAGCUAGCAUUGGUGGAAGCUAGCAGAGAAAUUCUAUUGGGAAAAUGAGGGAAUUUUGUGAGUAAAAGAUGAGAACUGGGGAGUUAGACCUGAACAUGAGAAGUAAGGAAAACCUCUCCACAGGGAAAUAAGGCAGGAGGGCUGAAAUCCUGCUGCUGUGGAGAGGUUGGAAUGUGUUUAUUUGACUGAAACUUGACAGUGACCAAUUAUCAAUAACAUUUGAGCACUUCAUUGUUUGAAUUGAAAGCAAUGUUAGAAUGGUACAUAUGUGAAUGUGGGUGAGAAGAGGGGCAGGUGAGUGGAUGAGGCCUGAGGGAGAAGGAGUAUCUCAAGUAACCCUAACGUUUCUGGGAGUGCAGCAGCCUAUGUUUGUGCUCAGCUGUGAGCUCGUUUUGGGGUAAAAAUGAAAUGCUUCAGAUGAUAUAGAUGGAAGACUAAAUUGUUUAUCCAUCCAGUAGAGAAAGGAAGAGAGAGGUAGAAAGCUAAAACUUAGUGAUUCUUGAAGAAAGUGGAGGUGUUAACCCCUUUGUUUCUUUAAACCUUUGAGUUGUGUCGUGUUGCUUAGAAGAUGUCUGGUCUCCCCGAUGUACUCUGUGUCUUUAAAUUGUAAUAAAUGUGACACAGAUAAAAAUGUUCUCUGAACUUCAGCUAUGGGGCAUACAUGAGAGUACUCUUGGUAAUCGAAUUCUUGGCUUCUAAGUCUGUAGGCUAUUGCCAGAUGAGCAGGUGUGCACAGUGAGGAGGAUUCCUUAAGAUUCUCCACAGUACGCUAGUACAUAAAUAUGCAAUUGCUUGUCUAUGUGGUGCUGUUGUGGCUUUGAACGCAAACUGACUAACGCCUGGUGAGUAACUUCCCCUGUGUGUUUUACUGAAAUAGUGCCUCACCAUAGCAGAUUCAGGAGCUGGUGGGCUCGGUUGGGAUUUAUAGGGUAAUUAAGAUGUUCUUUUUUUGCUUUAAUAGAUGUACAUAAAAUUCCUUUUAAAAAUAAAUAGCCAUGAACAUUACAGCAGAUUAUGGGUGGGUCACAGCUCAAAACAAACUCAUAUGGGAUGAGUUAUUCAUAAAUAUGAUGCAGGAAACAUUUAAUGAAAUGGAAAAGUUAGACUUCUCUAUUGUUAUAAUCAUGUCUUAAAAAUGUCUCUGUACUUGAGAGCAAUUUCCUGGUUAAUGACUAGAAUCACCCUGUGUGAUCUGAUUGCUGUUAGAAUGUAAUUGAAUGUGAAAAUUUGGAGGUUGUGACUGUGGCCUUUCAUCCUAAUUUAUGAUCUGCUUACAACCCAUCAAAUGAUAGACAAGGCAACUAUUUUCAAGGUGAUUACUUCAAAUUCUGCCUUUGAGACUGGCAGUUCCACUUACAAGCCUUAAAGACACCAUUCUCUCUUACUGAAGUGAGAAAUGCUCUUUUUGUUUGAUUCUAAAGUCUUUGUAAAGACUUCUCUCUCAGUAAUAAGUUCAUAUGUAUGUGCAUAUAUAUGUUUUAAACUUACGGCUUGAAUAUCUUUUUGAAAUUUGAUUUUAUGCUUAGAAUGUACAAGGAAGACUCGAGAUGUUUACUCAUGUAAACAGUUCUCUAAUUACUUUGUAAUUAGAAGUUAGAUGUCUUUGUUAAGGGCUGCUGCUUAUGUCUGAAGAAUAAGUCUGCUCCAAGCACGUCUGGUAUGAGUGUGAGUGAAUAUGCCAUUUCAGAGUGUGUUGGAGUAAUUUGCCACAUUUCUUAUACAUGUUAUUCUUCAUUUUGCAAACAAUUACGCAAUGUUGUAAAUUUCUUCCCAACAAAAUGGGGGGGCCAAUUUUACAUUUCAACCUCCCUUUCUAGUUUUCUUAUGUACUAGAUAAUUUCAGUUAUGGUAUUCUUUAUUUUACCUUUGAGAAGCUGCCAGUUACCAGUAGAAAGUUUUUUCUGCAGUGGCAUAGGACUGCUGAGAACAGAAACAGUAAUUAAUUGCCUGGUCUUACCCAGAGCACAGUUUUCAAUUGAUGCACUGUUACAAUGAGAUAGUUUAUCAAAGAACUUCACCUCAGUGUUAUCAGAGUCUCUCAAGUGCAGACCAGUAACUCUUCCUGCAGGACUGUAGCACACUACCAGGGCUGCUCUGAAAGUAAUGCCUUCCAUUUUAUGGUGCAGUCUGAUAUGUUUUGAUGAAUGCACAAACUUUUAGCCAGGUCUAUUUUUACGAGUACAUGGCUGAUUUAUUUUUGUGUAUAUGGUAUAACAGCCUGAGGGACAAUAUAUUGACAAAAUUCUUACUUUUCUCAAGUUUAUGCAGAGUUCCCGACUUGAAGGCUGAAAAGCCUCGUUUUUCUUUUUAGUAAUUCUGUUUACACAAAGAUAGCAGUAGCAGUGAAACAUUGGUUAGCUGUAAGAGUGUACCUGUGUACACUUAAUAUUUCCUAAAUAAAACUAAAAAUAGUUGUGCAAAUAAGAAUUCAUAUAGGGAGUGUUCAGUCAUGCUCAGGAAAUGUCAAGAUUAAAAGUGAGAAUAGAUCAGAAAAUGAAAGAUGAAGGUGUUUUCAUGUUUUGUUGAUACUGUAUUAAUGCUGCCUGUGGCUGUGGAGCACCCAGCUGGAGCACAAGAAGUUGUAACCUACAGUGGAGCAGGAUCAUGGCUGCUGUUUCAGUGUUGUCUUGUGCUUUUGGUCAGACUUAGAGCUACUCCCAUUUUCAGUGAGAACUUGAGCAGCUGACUUAAUCUUUUCACUGUAGCCUGUGAAAAUGAGCACUAUUUUCUUACCAAGCAGUCCCACUCAGUUUGCAGCUUGCAUAUUUUUUUUGAGACAGCUGGAAUUUUCUGUACGUGCUCUUAAGUCUCUCCAUGUUGUGCUUGCUUUUUCUGUUCAGAUAAUUGCUCAGGGUGUUACCAGAUUUUGGACAGAGAGGCAUCACUUCAAUGCCUGGAUGUCUCAUUCCAGACAGCUGGAGCAGUCUUCUCUUAACACAGUGUCAUUCUGUUUGGUUGGUUGGUUUUCUUUAGACCUGGUUGUAUUGCAAGGCCUGUUCUAAAAGCACCCACAAAACUGUUUUGUCUAUCUCUAAAUUUUUUUGAUGUCUGCUCCUGAGUGGAUGUCUGAUAGUGGUGGGGGGAAUAAGGCCAAACCUUGGCAUGUCAGUGCUGUUAGAAUGCAAACAGUCCAUGAUGGUUUUGGUCUGAUGGGGAAGAGGCAGAAACCUGUGGGCAGAGCUAGCAGGAGGCUGGGCCUCACCUCGUGCUUGGAGCAAGGCAAGUGCUACCAGUGCGACCUCACACUCGGAAAACUUUGUUUUGUUUUGUUUUUUUUUAAAUAAUACUAAACUUGAUUUGCAUUUUAGAUACUUAGACUUGUGUAUGACAUAACAGCUUUCCAGUUUUGUCUAUGGAGAAGUGAAUUGCAUUAAAACUUUACAUUGUCUACCCUAGGAAAAACAGAAAGGUGAUAAUGUUUACUGUAGUGAUGUGUAAAUACAGAAGUGUUAGCCGAUGAGAAAAAAUCGCUAUGCUGUCAUUAGCUUUUGCAUUUUUCCAUUGCUGCUUUUGCUCUGUAUGCUGUGAACCUGACAGACAUAAGUGCUUACCCCAUAGUUUAGAAGAGCCUUGCUGACUUCUAUCCACACUUGAAAUAAAAAAACCCUUGGCCACAGUUUUCAAACCUUGCAGUGCAAGUUAGCUACAGUGACAAACUGAUACAGUGCUGCCGUAUUCCAGUCUUUUCUCUGUGUGGAAAAUAAAUCAGCAUGAAUGAUCAUAAGAACAAAUCCAAGCUAUGCCACUGAUCCCUCUGGGUGGGUGGAUCCAUCUUAGCGUGCUCUGACUGGCUUUUAGGUAACUGAAAUUAGUACUGGAAACUGGAAUGGAAAAAAUGGCUAAAAUAAAUAAGUUGAAGCAUCCAUAAUCAUAGGUACGCAGUAUCUGCUUAAUAAUAAAACCAAAGCAGACACUUAAGAACCCUUAUAAAAUUCCAAGGAUCCAAACAAAAGAAUAACUGAAGAGCUUACACAAUUGAGUUGAAGAUACAGAGUUCUUUACUUAUAUUUCACGAGAAGAAAGUAACGGCAUAGUAAUUAAAUAAUACUAUACUACGUUCAAAAACAAAGUCUCCAACUUCCCCCUCAUUUCCUGUAGUUCAAGCCCUGUUUAAAUCACUGUAAAUCUGCUUGGCACUUACUGUGCUCAGCUAUGCCAGUUCAUGCGCUGCUCUGGAUCCCAUUCGCUCUCAGUGCUGGCAGCUGUCCCGGCUGCCUCACACCUUCCAUGCUCUGAAAGAGUUGUUUUGAAUCACAGUGCUGACUGGAGCUACAAAUGUAUGCCUGGGAGGUCAGGCAGCUGCACACGUUGCCUUGUACAUUACAGAUUCCUUAGCUUGGAAGCUAAAAAGCUGCCAGAAAUCAUUUGUCUGAAACUAUAGUAAUUCUACAUGGAUUGAUUUGUCUGUAUUCCACUCUGGGAUGAAGUGUGCGGUAUGGUAGUUAGUGGGAAUCUGCAAGCAUUUUGAGCUGGGUUUUUUUACAUAUGUGUAUACCAUGUCUCACAGCGUAUGUUAAUAAUGACUUUUUCUUCUCACAUAGUUCAUCUGUAUUUCCACAGAUUACAAUUAUAUUUUCAAAUGUUAUAGAAUGAAACAGCAUUUGAGGAGUCCCUUACUUACCUUCACAUUGUUGUGAGUUCCUCCAAAACAAUCUCAUAUUCACAAGUCAGAAGUCUUUGACUACUGGCAGGGUAUGCGUGUAGCUAUGGAUGGGAGACAUUAAUAAAAAUGGUGUCUUCUGAAAAUUGUCAUAGUUCAUAGAUAGUACAUAUGAAGAUCUGAAUGGUAGAGAUCUUGUGGCCAAACAUGAUUAUUUAUUGAUUUUUCUCCCAGUGGUGAUGGAAUGUUGUGAAGAUGUUUUCUAUUUAUGAAAGUCAGUCCAAUCUCAGAGGAAGAUUGUUUUUUUCCCUGGGGUACUUACACUUAGCUACGUUGGAUUUAAAAACUCCUUUCAUUUUUAUAUUGCUGUGGCAAAGCUCAUGUAAGUCAAACUAAUAUUUUCUUUAGUUUAGACUUAAUUUCUAUGAAAUUCAGAGGGUCCAGACAUACUUUCUUCCUGACAUAAAAUUCUUCUGACUUUCACUUAUUAUUUAUACAACCUUCUAGAGUAUAUCUCAGAACAUUGAUUUAUGAAGGGUUGGUCAUUGCAUAGAGUGAAGCUCAGCCACUCAAACUCACAGGGGUUUAAUGUGUUUAGUGAACAUGAAUUUAAUAAAGUACUUAGCUGCAGAUUCCAGUGAACCCAAAAAGAUUUAUGGCAUUAUGAGGGAAACCUUACAGUAAUUCCUGUAUUUCAUAGCUUGACACAGUGCAUUGCUCCAGUAAUUUUACUGGCACUUCCAUUUAUGGUCCUUUUUUUUUCAGUUUUCCAUAAAAUCAUAUCAGAGAGAACUUCACGCUCUGCUAACAAAUAAAAACAAGAAUUGAAAGAUUUUGAUAUAUCUGUGGGGUGGACCAGCUGUAGUCCUUAACCCAAUCGAUGCUGUAGACAAUUUCUGCUGCUGCAAAGCUAGAAGAGAAUACUGCUCUUGAUUUGUAUGUUUCAUUACUGUAAUAUAAAUGUAUUAUUUUAUUUUGCUCUGUUUUUCUUCCCUUUAAUAACCACCUAAAAGAAACAGGCAAUGAAAUGCUAAAAGGGAGGAUGAAUGAUACACUGUAAGGCAAGAGGCUCUAUGACAAAUUCCACACAUUCACACUGCCAACAUUUAUCCACAAUGUUGGCAAAAUGAAAAACACUUCUGAGUUGCUCUGUUUAUUUAUAAGUCAGACAAUUCCUUUCUUUUUCGUGGUAGGAGACAGCAUUGGAUAAUCUGACUCUUAUCACUGUCAGGUUAGCCACCAAUUUUAAUUGUGACAUUGUGCAACUCUAACACCUGUCUGUGUCUCCAGCUUCUUCAUCUGUAAUAGUUAUGUAUCUCAGAUUAUUACGCUGACACUAAGGCUUUAUUACAUAUGAAAAUCAUUAUUUACGUGAAUCUCAUUUAGCUCUAUCAACAAACUGCUCUUUCACUGUUGUGUUGGCAGUUUUCAAAUGAAAUUGCUGCACUUACGUUUUUCCAGACUGAUGAAUAUAAACUCAUCAGCUAAAACUCAUACAGUUAAAAACUUCUCAGGCGUUGAAUGAUUGACCAGGUUUCAGAAAGUGAAGAAUGCCAACAGAUGUACAAAAGAGCAUUAGAAAUAAAAAUCACUGAGAGUUGAUUUAAAGUCUUCUAGUGUUACAUCAGUGUACACUUGAGUAUAUGCACCUGUAAUCCUAUAACAUGUAAUACAUUUCUUGCAUAUGAAGAAUAUUACUGAGAAUGAAAUAAAUUUUAAUCUUUAGAUUGCAGGGUUAACGUGUUGGCAGUUGGUCCAAACAUCUAAGUGUUCUAAAUAAACAUUCCUAGAAAUUAUGUUGCUGUACCCAGCCUCCAGGUAUGGUGGCCUGGGACAGUUUGGCUAAUUCUGAGUAUUGCAGCAAUCCUUUAAACAAAACAAGCAAGGAAAGUAAAGCCUCUUAGGCCGUGAAAACCAAAUAAUCACAGGCCCUGAUGAAUGCAAAUGCCAUUUCUGUUAGAUACUUAGAUUUUUAAGAUACCUUUGUUUAAAAAGAAACCAUGAAACCUAAAAAACAAACUUUGACUAAUUCUUUGUUUGUAGAAUGAUUUACAUUAAUAAUACAUUAACUAUUAAAAAGGAGAGAAUUUAGAGGAGAAACCUUUUGUAUUCACAGUGCAAAUGUAGUAAAUUGAUUUUUAUUUUUAAUAAAGCCAGAGACCAGUGUUCUAUAUUCUUCUUAAAAAACAAAGGUCUGACAUUUUUUUUCCUUUGAAAUACUGAGAAUAACCUAAAGGCCUGGAAUGGAGAUUUGGUGUUGGCAGGAAAUUGGCCUUCCUGUUGAGCAUGUGCUUUUUGUUAUUUCUGUGAAAAAUCUACAUAUUUAACCAAGUUUUAACCCUUUCAGACAUAAUUCCUAGUAGGAUCUCUGAAUGCUAGUUGUUACUAGCAAAAUCUUUGGGCAUUCCAUUGCUUAAUUACUCUUCUGGCCACACUCUGCCCAGGUUGGAUGCAAACUGGCCCCACAGGGCUUUGGAAUAUGCUCUGUCUCCUUAAUGUGACUUAAUUUUAUGUCCCUCUCAAACUAGACCCUCUGGUAUAGGAAAUUCAGCUAUAUAUCUCUGACUGUUUUUUAUUUAACUUAACCCCCCUGGUUUGGGACAUCUGUCUAUCUCACUUGCUUGGUAAAAAACAAGUAGAAAAAAAAUAACAUCUUAAAACAAUUACAGCUGUUUCUGAAGUGUUUGACCACAGAUGUAGAGCCCAAAUAGAUGAAUUACCUGGCAAGCUGGUUAGGCUGCCCUGCCUCUCUGCUGGCAGCUCCUGACCCAUAACAAGGCUACAGAACCCACAGAAUGAUGGCUUUGUGGUCACAGAAGUUCACAGCUCUGGAUGUUAAAAUUUAACGAAUAGGAAUAGGCAGUAGUUUAAUUUCACAUGCUCAGCAGUGAACUGUAGAGUUUUUUCCUCCAGUUUUGUUCUUAGGAAAUAGCAUAAAUAAUUAUGGACGCAAACUGUAGAUGUGGCUGGUAGGGAAGGAGUACAGUGUGGAAAAAGUUGACCUUCUUUGAUAUAAGUAGCUGUUAAUGGCCGUAAAGAAUUUGCAGAUACUGAGCCUUUCCACCUGCUAUUAAGAGAGUUACGAAACUUGCUAGUUUCUCAUGUUUAUGUUGGUUUAAGGACCUUGAUCUGUCAAUAGGACUCUGCACAUCUCCCAAACUGCUAAAAUUCUGAAUUAACUUUCUACAUAACAGCUUUACAUUCAAACAACCUCCUGUGAGUUACAAUAAAGUAGGUAUAUACCAAAUUAUCUUCAAGGCCUUACCAACUGAAUAUUUGUAAGGAUUUGAACUUGUGUAAAUGACACAUGAUUAAAUCAACAUUACGAAGUCCACUGCAGAUAUUAGGAAGGGAUUUCUAGAAUCAUCUUCUCCCUCAUCUGGCUCUUCUCCAGAGUUCUGUAGUUACCUACAGUAAGUCACUAAGUCAUCUAUGGAUAUGUUUUCUUCAAAAAUAACCAUCCUCUGUACAGGCAGUGUUUGCUUGGAAAGGAUCCGUCUGCCCCAUAGCACAGAACUGCGGCUGACAGGGAUUCUGGGCACCUUGCUGAGCUUGUUUCUGGCUGCACCAGCCCUAAAGCAGCAGAAUGUGCACACAACAGCUAUUUCAGUUCCAUGUAUUCCCGUGGGACAAAAUACCAGUAAAGAAGAAGUGCCAUUACAGAAGCGGAGUGUGCUUGUCCUGAAGCUUUUCAGAAAAUACUUUGUAGUUAUUUUAGCUCCAGAAAGCUAACAAUUAGAUCAACAAAUUUGUUUCACCAAGAAAACUGGGCAGGAAAGGUAGUCAGUGCCAUGAAUGAUCUCCUUAUUGAAUUCAGGUUUGCUAACUCAAAUUGCCAUUCCAAACUCCAGAUUGCUAAAUUCCAUUUUAGCAAUCCAAAAUUUAAUUUCAGCAAUGUGGAGUUUAUCCCUUUCAUUUCUGAAGCCAGAUAAGAAGGAAUUGUCUGUUACUUUUCUUAGCAAAAAAGUUCUUUCAGAUGAAGUUUUAUUUCUUUCAGAAUUCCCCUAGUUUCGAGACUUUGCUUUUUAGAAAUUUCUCUUGAGAAAUCAAUUUUUUAAAUUCCCACUAAUACAGUUGUAUGAAAGCAUGACUAUAAUCAAUAAUCAUAUUGUAAUGGAUAGGGAGAGAGUUUUUCAAUCUGUUGUUUUCACUAUAAAACUAAAAUUGUGCCCAAGGUCUGCUGAUUAUCUGCCAUAGCUUCCAUAUUGCCAGAGCAAUGAAUACAGAAAUUGUAGCAGGAGACACAGAACUUUUUUUUUUUUAAAAAACAGAAUAGGUUAUGUGUAUCACCUCAUAUAUUCUUGACAAUGCAUCUCCCAGAUACAACGAAGAACCAAAAUGAGAGGGGGUGUGGAGAAACAACAGUAUUCUUUAAAAUGAGAGAAAUUUUCUUUUUAGAAAGAUGAGAAGCAUAAUAAUAAAAUAGACUUGUUGAGGCAAACACGUUGAAAUCAUUCAGAAAAGAAAACUGCAUGACAUCAUGUGAGAAGGUCAGAACCAAAAAAGGACAAGUUUUAUAGGCCCAAAAGCUUCUAUUCAUUCCUAAAGAAUUUCUCCUAGUCACACAAGAAUUGAGAGAAAGAAAUAAAGCCAUCAUCCUUGGAACACUCACCAAGUACAAAUAUGUUGUCACAGACAGGAAAGGUCAAAAAAGUAAAAAUACAGUAAAAAAAAAAGACAUGGUUUUUAAUCAGGAAUGCUUACUGAGAAAUACUGACUUACUGCUCGCGAAACCGGAGCUGAUGCUUACUCCCAGUAAUCCAAAGCCUGGAGCCAUUGUGAAGCACUGAAUGCUCUUGUUGUCUUUUUCAGCAAUCUACUGCUUGCAUAUUAGAAAAAUAAUUUAGACACUUUUUUUCUAUCUGGAUCUCAGAGCAGCAGGGAGAGUUUUACACCUUUAUGAAUUCAGCAUGUGGAUUCCCAGGCGCUUGUGAUUUUCAGGAAAAUAAUCUACUUCACAAGCUGGUUUGGGCCCUGUAGUUCACCAUGCUCUGAAGCAAAUCAGUCUGUUGUCUAAACAGCUUAAGAGGCAAUUAAACAUUCAGGUUCAGAAGACUUCCAGGAGUUAAGUACUACAUAAUAUUAGUAUUUAUGCUCACUGUCAUAUAAUAAAUUAAUACUCUGCUGAGGGCAACAUGGAAAAUAUUGCCAUGUUGGUUGGACAUUACAACCCUUACUUUUCUUCCUAUUUAUCUGCAAAACAGAACAAGCACCUGUCUUGGCCGUUUCAGUUCUCUGUCCAACACAGUAGCAUAAGUCAACAACACGGAUUUCUGUCUUGAAGGACUGCUAACAAGACUGUGUGCAUACCACAUGGCACAGGCUGAAGACUGUUUACCACUGCAGCACGUGUAGCAGGCGUAUUCAUCUCCCACCCUCCCAUUCUCAGUAUAUAGGCAAUUCACAUUCAGCCUGCCUGGUCCUUGUCUGCGUUCCUUUUUGUGUUGUCUGAGAAAGCAGAACCUUUCCCUGCUCCGGUUCUCUCUGGGUAUUUUAUUUUCUUUUCAGCCAUCAGAACCCAAAUUGUAAACUUGAUGUACGAAAUCUACCAUGUUGAUUGCAUAGGCUCUCCAAAACUCACUUUUCAGCCCCAACCUUCAGAGGACAGCUGUUACUAGAAACUCAGAAUUCCUUGUUAAGAAGCACAUUCUUCACAAGUGCAUCUACUGUGUCAAUUAAAAAAAAAAUAAAAAAUCUUACAGAUCUUUCCAGGUGGAGUUUCUCUAUGCUUUACAAAUUCAUUAAUUAGUGUGAAAAAAGAUGGUAUGAUUUAGAAAGGAAAAAACAAACAUUAAUGUUGAAAUAUAAAUAAUAAACCAUUUGAUGCAAAUUUGCAGAAUUGCAGAAAAAAGCCAAGGUUUAUACAGAAAAGGAUCUGAAAGUUGUAGUGGUCUGGAGAUAGACUAUGCAACGGCAUGCUGUUAGGAAUAAGCAACAGUUGGAGUUUUCCUGUGACCUUUCAAGCAUCUUUACUACUGUUUGUUUACCCAUUCCUUUUAGCCUUUCAGAACAGUUGAUAUAAUUUUAAACAGGCACCACAACACCAGACCUUGGUUCCAACACACCUGAAAAUAAAAUCUGCUGUGAAAAACAUUCUUGAAAAAUUACCUGCUUGUAAUACUGUAAUGCAAUGGAAAGUACAGCAAUAAUAGUGGAGUGGCACAAUCCUAGGCCGCAGCAAACGAGAACAAGCCCAAAUGCUGCAGCAGCAGAUACAGAAACAAAGAAAUUAAAACUGCUUACCUUUGGAAGGCCUCAGGUACACAGAGAUCUCCAGGGAGAUCCCCUUGCCUCCACUGCCAGCCCUUAAAUGAGAGCUGGGAAAGGGGGGAUCGUGGCCCAACCCAUCUGGUCGCUCAGUGCAUUGCAGUGCAUGCACCUGAGCUGCCCUGGCCUGGCCCUGCCUUCCCACCAGGUGCUCCAUCACUGCUUCCAGCUGUGACUUAGCAUUUCCACUACAAUGCUUUUACACAAUAUGGUUUCUAUCUCUUGCUGUGGGAUAUUUGUGUACUUUACUGAAUUCAGGUCUUGAGGAUGCAUACAGCAACUGUGGUGGUCAAAUGAGCUUCAAGAGUCUCUGCUUUCCACUCUUGCUAUUCAGCUCAACUCUCAUGCCUCUCCUUUUGCUGUGGAGAGCUGGCAUAGCUGCCCAUGGGCUAGCAGGGAGCUGAAGUGCAGAACUCAUCCACCUGAAAAAGAAUACAGCAAAAACUUGCAGACAAACAAAACUUAAAGCACAUAAGCAGAAGGCGGGAAGGACUGGGUGGAGAUCUUGGGGAGCACCUAAGGGACAUCACCCUCAGAGAGAUUUACAGAAGCAUCAUCUCAAGGAACCAUCUGGUCACAAAGUACAGUUUCACAACAUUACUCAUUGGGAGUUUUCCCAUUAAUGUUUUAUACUAACAAAGGUCAGAAUGGGUUACAAGAAGGUGGUUGAUUAGGGAAUGAAACAAAACCAUGGAUAAUUUAUUUGCUCUUUAGUCUGUACCAAGUGAAACUACUCAGUAGUGAAAAUCCAAAGAGUUGCAUUUGGAGUCCAAACUGACAGCUUGAGAAAUAACAGGUGAUCAGGAAUGAAUCGGUACCAACAGAGAACUGCUCAUUCUCUGCUAAACAAACUGUCAAGAAACCAAAGCUUGGCUCAGAAGUAUGAGAAUUAAUCAGUUGGUGUCAGGAAGAGCAGUGAUGAUCAUUAAUUUGCCACCUGGACAUAUUCACUGAUGGUAGUCGCUUGUGCACCAGCAAUAGAUAGCAGAUGGGUAUCAAGCCAGGAAAGCAAGAGUGGAUUGGCCCAGCUUCCAAAUUUGUUUUGUAGUUAAGUUAGCAGCAGAGUUUUCUGUCUGUUGAAUGACUCCAAUCUGAUAUUUGUUAGCUAAACAAGCCUAAACAGAAGAAAACCAAAGUGGAGCAUCUGUGCCAGGUAUGUUCAGAUACUCACUCCAGAGUGUCUCAUCAGCAGUCAAGCCUACACAUUUUGCUGUUGCUGUAUGUGGGAAAGGAUCCAAGAGGAACAGAGAUACUCUUCUGGAUUAUUCAAUUCCAAGACUUUUUAAUGUGAGAAGACUAAAAAAAAUCUUUAUGAGGAGUUGAAUAACAUUUCCUCACUCUUCUAACUCAUGCAGUCUAUUUAACUGAUUCACAGACUACACAGUGUCUCCCAUAACUUUAGAUACUGGCACAUAAAUUUGGGGUGUAAUCAUCUUAAAGUCUCAUACUCUCAUCAGAAAGUUUUGUUCAGAGUGAAUAACUUUUCAGAAUUUAGUCUACAAACAGAGUGAGCCUGAGCUCUCUUUCUAGCUUGGAGUCACUCGAUGGCUGAAAGUCACGCUCUUUGCUGAAGAAAAACCUCUUACCUUUGGAAGGCCUCAGGCAUGCAGGGAUCUCCAAUGAGAGGGCUGGGAAGUGUGGAUCCUGGCUCAACCCUUCUGGUCACUCAGUGCAUUGCAUUGCAUGCACCUGAGCUCGUUGGGCUGGCCCUGCCUUCCCACCAGGUGUUCCAUCACUGGCUUGGGCCGUGACUUAGCAUUUCUGCUACAGACAUGAAAUGUAAAAGUUUGGCAGAAAAGAAAGUAAAAUAAAGCCUUACUAGAAGAUAGAAGAGCACUGUUGUGGAGAGCUGAACAAGGUGUGAUGUGGAAGAAGUUUGUUGAUGUGAUCUGCCCUUUUACUGAUAUAUAUACUCAGGCAAAUAUCUUGAGUAGCAUGGAUAACUGUAAUGAUAAUUAUUUAAAAACCUAGCACAAAAAUAUUACAAAACACUAGUCUUUUAUUUUUGUAAAGAAAACAACAAGUCGGCGAGAGUACAAACCUGAUAUUAUAGGGUAUUAAAAAACAGCCAUUAAGACAUUUUGCCCUGGAAAUUGGUAUUUUCGGAGAUGGAAAUUAUAGUCCUGUGCUUCCUGCCAACAGUCUGUAGGCAACAAGGUUUUUCUUUUCAACUGUUAAUUUAUUUUUCUCUAAAGAAUGUGUGUACAUGAGUUAACCAAGCUUGCCCCAUACCUGCUUUUUUGAGCAGAACUAUCUUUCUAGUAGUGCUCUAUAGGAGCAAAGCUCCCUCCCACUUCACAGAAGAUGGCACCAUUCAGAAAGAGUUGUUUCAGAACAUACCUGGUUUAAUGAUAGGAUCAGUGAACACAGCAGUGUUUUCUUGGCAACAGGUUGAAAAGCUUGCAGCUAAACAGUUUCUUUGGAACAGUUUAUUGGCAUUCCAUCUCUGCAUUAGAAACUUGGAUUUCACUUCUUAUUUUGUUUUUCUGUUCCCCUGGUUCAUUUCCUCUAUCGUUUUUUUCCUAAUGAUACAUAAAAAUAACAUGCUGCGUUCUUUGUCCUGAGCAGAGAAUUAACUGUGUUGCUCUUUGAAUUUGUAAGGAGGCAGAUUUGGUAAGAAUUCUAGUUAUAGGUAUACAUUAUCCAAUAAUGAAAAAGGUAGCUAAAUGAAAAUCAUCAACAGCAUAGGUGGAAAGGAAACAAUUUAAAGAGGUAAGUUUUAAAUGUUUAACUUCCAUUAUCACCACUGCUGAACUUAUAUUCUGUGCAUAAGCAUUUUGCCUUAGAAUUUAAUUUUGCCCUCCUGCUGAAAUGAAAUACUUAAAUUCAUAUUUUGAAGUUGGCAAAUCGAACUUAAGGGCAAUGCUUAUUAGGCUGAGACAUUCUGCUGUGUCUUGUGAACGCAAAGUGUUAGCAUUUGGUUGCUUUUUUAAUCUGAAUUGUUAAACAGGCAUUUUCCACAUCCAUGCACUUCCCUAAGAACAAGGCAAAAAAUAGUCAGAGUCAUUGAGGAAAAGGACAAGAGUUAACAGCUGGCUAGUAUGGCUUCUGGAAAACUAAACUUUUCUUAAUGCUUGUCACAGCAAUAGCACAAAAACUCAGUUUGAAGUUUGCAUGACUGUAUAAUGUAUUCAUUAGUUGUUAUAAUGUUUUUCACCAAAUCUGGAAAUAAUACAAGAAAGAAUUGUUGUUCAAAUAGUUUACUCCACAUUUAUGAAGAAGUACUAUUCCUGGUAAAAGUUAGAAAAAUCUCAUUGGUAGCCAAAGUGAACAGUCUACUUUUGUCAGAUCUCAUACUUGAAUGUGGUGCAGGAAUAUAACACCUGUCCUGAAUUGCCCAGGACCCUCAUGUUUCCAGGGCUACAUGCUUACUAGAGUCCAGUCCUAUCUCAGCAAUUUUCUGUGUUCUGCAUCUGGAAUGAAUAUUCUGUUUCCACCUUCAUAUCUCAAGAAAUAUUUUUUGGGUGUAUCUUCAUUUUAUCUAUUUCUUCACAUAACGCUUAUUGAAUUAUAUGACAUUUACUAUGAUGUCUCAAUAGUGCACGUUUUUUUUUUCUGCAAGGGUUGUAAAUCAUCUGCAGAAUAGAUGUUUGGCUACCUCCAACAUUUCUGAUAUUAAAUGUGAGAAAAAUGCUUUUUGUUAACUGGAGCCAUGUGUACAUAUGCAGAUUAUUUUUGAGCCAUGUACUGCAGAAAAUGUAACUCUGUUUCUUGUAUUUCACACAAAUAUUUUUGUCUGAUAUAUCUCUUUCAUCAUAGCUUUCAUAUUUUCAUAUUACUUCUUUUAACUGAGUUGCAUUACAGCUGUUUACAGUACCAAGCCACAUAAGAGUUAGAAACAGAGGAAAUGGGAAAAGUAAGAAUAAACAGUUUAAUUCUUAAUCAGCUACUGCUUUUGAUACUUUAAACAUGGUGAUCGCUAAUGCGGAAAGCUCUGGAAGCCUUAGUAAGCUGGCUUGAUCAUCUGAAGAAUGCCAGUACUUCUUAGGGAAAGUUCGUGAUUCAUACUCAAGGAUUAAGCCAAGAGAAUCUUGUGACCUAAGCAGCCUGGCUCUCCACUGGUAAAAAUGGGAUUUUCUUAUCUUCACAAAAAUAAUAAUUGAGACAGAGAGCAGGGAUGGAAACAGACAGUAUACAUUUGAUUGCAGAGCUAGCAAUGCUCAAACAGCAUAAGGGAAAUGGCAGUUUUGGCAAAUUGUGAGUGUCGUGAUAGAAAAAUAAACUACAGUAUGUGAAGUGUUCCUCAGAGAUGAAUCACAGCGUGUCUGAGAAGCAGCAGAAAUAUGAACUGUAACAAAAAACGAUAGAUAUUUUGUCUUCAGUGUCUUGGGUGAUCCUUAGGAAAUGUUUAGUCGUUCACCUGGUAAUUCAGGAAACAGCUCCUCCCUGGGUAUCGAUCUCUUCAAAAUGAUUGCAUUAACGUGUAUUUCUUUAUGGUAGGUCACCAGUGCAAGAAGUGUGAGAUUUGGAGUGAUGACAUGAAAUCGAAUCCUAUUUCUAAUAAUAAACAUUUACUUGACAGAGUCAGUCAACUUCAAUAUUAUAGUUUCUCCAUUUCUACAACUGAGAUAAUAAUUUAGCUUUUUAUUUAUUUGUUUAGAAUCUUGCAAAAAUUACCUUUGAAAUAUGAGCAAUAAAGGAUACAACACAUGGGAGCAUUGCAAACUGACUCCCCGACCAAGAAAGUUGCAUAAACGCAUAUCCUUUGGCAGAGCUCACUGAUAUAAACAACCUUGGUUAUAUUUAGAUCCACAUCUAGGUGCCUUGCCACCUCUGUCAUCUCUCUUUAUUCUUAUUUUAGGGUUUUAACUACUUAUAUUUAAUAGAUCAUAAGGAAAUAGAAGAUACAAAAGCACUAGCUAUCAUUACUUUUUGAGACAAGCAAAACAUUAUUGGUGCAUUAUAACUCCAGUCUUGUUUUGCAUUAAUUUCCCUUAAAGGGAGGAUCAAUAUUAGCAAGCAGAACUGUAAUCAUUGUGUAAAUCUGAUUUUUCUGUUGGUUUCUUUAAAAAUCAUGCAGUCAAAUUACUUAGCAUUUCCUUAGCAUUCACAGUGCAGAAACAUCUGAUAGGUACGGAGAGAAUUUUCAGCAGCAGCUUUUGUGGGGACUGCAUAGGCAGGUAACAGCAAACUCCUUUCUGGGUAGUGCUGUGCUGGCAAAUCAGUGAUGAGGGAAUGAUGCUGCAAGGGACACAUGUAGGCACAGUAGUAAUUUUGAUAACAUCCAACUGUUCUGUUGAGGAAAAUGUACAUUUAAAGCUUCUGAUCUGAUUUCUUCAGGGAAAAAUUACCAUCGUUAUGUUCCUGCACUCAGUUGCAACAUCUCAAAUUCAUGUUUAUUCAUACAUGCCUUUGUAAUCCUGUUGAGUUGCAGUGGGAAUUAAACAAAUUGUACAACAAAAAAGUAUAAAUCAUUGCAGUACAUAAAGCAGUUUCCAUCACUGCUCCUAGAAACUACUCAAAUAACAGUAAUGUUUGAUCUUCUGUAAAACAUAUCAGUGCAUUUAAAUUUUAAUUCUCUUCUGUGAUGUUUGGAGAAAAAGUAGACAAAUUGCAUUAAGAAAGUCAGUUUCCAUACAACGUUACUUUAAACAGUUUCAGAAAUUACAGGCUAAAUCUUUAAAAAUUUUCCUUCAGUUUCAGCAGUGCACCAUGCCUUGGUGAGAAGUGGAAGCAGACCUUUAGAGAUGCAUCCUGGACACUCCUUUUGCCCCCCUUGGUGAAAGAAGGAUGGGAUGCUGCCAGGACAGCCACAGUUUCUGCAACACAAAGCUGAAAUUACAAGAUUGUUGUCGUAAGAAAGCAGAAACAGUGUAUGGCACUCCGUGCCCUGCAGUGCUGCCGUUCUUCCGUUGUUUUUACAAACAUUGCUACCUUUCUAGGCAGCCAGGGCUGCUAAUUUCUUCUCAUUACAACUAUAUGAAAAAGAAGUGAGAGAUACCUCUAGUACACCAAUAUUAAUAUGGUGAAUAAUUAAGCCAUCAAGAAAACUGUAUAUGUUUUCAAAGAAGCCAAGCACCUGCACACGGACGAUUUCUGUCUUAUAGCUGUGUUUGAGAAUAGUGAGAAUGGGGAAAAAAGCCUUUGCUGUAUCUCCUUCAAGACAGACAGGAGUGUGUUUAUUUUCACCAAAUAUCCAUACACAUAUGACACUCUCUCAGAAAUGGACAGUUGCUGGAAGAGUAACACCUUUUUAUUCCUUAUGAUAUAUGUCCCGCACGUGCAUCUCCUGUAUGUGUGCAAAUACAGGAGGAAGGAAGUCCUGGAAGACUUGGGAGCUCUCAGUGGGAAACCAAGGCAAAGGGCACAGUUCUCAUACAAAUGGGCAAAGGUAUCUACAUUCCACAGUGCCAAGCAACCAUCAAAUCCUGAAGAGAUUCCUAAUCCUUAUUCUUGUCCUUCUUCAGGCAUCUGGGCCUCAUUGAAGUCUUGCAAAUAAUUAAGAAUAUUAGACCUCUGGUUACUGAUCAUCUUGCAGAAGUAUGUAUUUCAUCUAUCUGUCCUGGAUUUCUUUUUGCUUCUACCCCAUAUUGUGAGACAGGAUAUUACAAUAAGUUCUUCAUAUUUCUUUGUCAGUGUAACAACAUUCUCCAGGCAAAAUGUGUCACACUUUUCUCCAUCGGAUUGUUAUUUCUCUAGAGCCAUAAAAGUUGGCAUACCAUAAGUGCCAGUGGUGCUUAAAAGCCUGUCUUGAUGGGGAAAUGGAUUGCAAAAAUAGUAUUUCCUUACUUUUGUAAUGAAAAAAAAAGGAACAGUUUUGUAAAAUAGCUGUUCAGUGAAAUACACAAAAAUGCCAUUAGUAUGAAGGAUAAAAGUUCUCCUGCAAUGCAGGAAGAGACCCUUUUUCGUUGUGCUUUUAUUAUUUGUAAUUAAUGUGCUCACCUCAGAUUUCUGCCAACAGCCCAGCGCAAAAUGAAUCUCUGUGCAUUCUCUCUUUGUUUCUCCUUGUUCUAUCAUGCUGUGUACCAUUAUGAGAAUGUAAGGGAAUAUAUGUAUGUAUAUAUAUGGCAGGAUCUCUAAUCACAUAUUUUUUGCUAAUUUUAGUUCAAAUACAGAGUUAGUGACAAUGUCAAUACAAACACAGUCUGUUUCAAGGUGUGUAUACCCGUGUAACAAAAACAGUCAGGAAAGGACUUAGGGAGCACGGGACAGAGGUGUGCAGCAGAACGCACCUCUUCUGUGCCAUAUCCAAAUACGGUACCUAAUUUUCAAUAGAAAAGGCAAAAACAUGGAAACAUGGCCCCAGUGUCCGCAAAGUGGACACUGCACAAACAGCAGAAAAUGCUUAUUUUUCAUCUAAUGAAGUGACUAGUCAAAUUCUGCUUACUGUAUCCUGUGCGUAGCAUAGUUGCUUAUGCGUAUCAGUAUAGAAUUUAUAUUCCUCUAUCUGCACCAGCCGAAAACACAUACCACAGCCAUAGUGGUGUAGUGUGUACAAAGGAGGCCGAUUCAUUGAGGACAACAGAUAAAGUGUCCAUAGCAGUGAAAGCUCUGGUUACUGAGGCCAAAAAAUGUCUUUUUUCAGCAGAUCAAUUUGGGCACUGACGAAUUAUUUUUCAUUUUUCAGCUGCACAAAACUUUUCCUCGCAUUUCCGUCUUAUUCGAGUGAACUAAUAAGCCCCUGGUACAACUCUUGAUACUGCAUAUCAACUUGUCACGUGUGGCAGCAUUUGCCACAAGAAAAUGUUUAUCUUUUUGCCCCACUCAAAGCAAUCAGCAGAACAGAAAGCUCCUGCAGAAAGACCCUGGCAGUGGCCUGCAGCCUAACAGGACUCCAGUUUGUGCUGUUCUGUUUUUCAUUCCUAUGUCUUUUUUUAUAUGAGUAAGCACAACAUUUUCUAAACUCCAAUGCUAAAGAUUGCUAAUGAAUAGCUACAGCUUGAAGAAAAAAAAAAUCCAAAAGACAUGCAAAUUAUCCUUUGUUCUUUCCAGUUUUUCUAACACCUGAAUGCCAAACACAUACGUCAGCAUUCUGCAGAAUGACAAAACAAAGUCCCAAUCCCCUACUGCAUUUAGAUGUGCUGGUGUGAAAAACAGAAGUGUUGUUCAGUGUUUCAUAGGUGAAACAGGAAAGUACUCUUUCCUCUUUGCUGUGAUAUUGAUAAAAAGAAGUGAGAAUAUGUCCUUGGGAUACACGUAAAUGAUAAUGCUAUCCACUAUUACGCUGCACUUGAAAAGUUAACUUUUAAGAUAAGAUAAACUUGCUGUUACAGGUAUUGUUACAUAUGGUGCAGAAUUAACACUGACCAGGGACGUUUUCUUAGGGAUAUAGGCAAGCAGAAACACAGUGCAGCAGCUCUCCAUUUCUUGCCUGCUUGCAGGUCACUUCUGAUAAAAAAUCAACAUAACCAGACCCACCAAACAACGGUAACACUGGACUGGUGCCCUCCAGCCCCCACCACGUUCACAGAGCACUUGCUGCAGUGCCAAAGCAUUGCACAGCCCCAGCAAGGGCAGGCAUUCAUUCCCCCCUGCACUGUAUGAGCAUCUGUGUUUCAGGACACUGUACUGAGUGUCCUGCUUUUGGAGAAAAUCAAGAGACUUGAAUUCACUAAUUGGUGUAGCUUUUUCACGCAUGCAUGCCAUAGUGGGAUGUUAGCACAAGGUACGUUAUCAGUAAAUUGCAGCUGUGGCUGUCUUCUUUCUGGCAGGAGUGCCUUGAAACAGCAACCUUAUGUUUUUUUUUUUUUUUUUUUUUUUAAUUCUUGGAAGUUUCUGUUUAUUAACAGGAUAAUCAGCAAAGGAGGAGAUAGGGAUAAAGCUGGUAUGGGAAGAUAUUGUGGUUAAAGCCAGAGCGGACUUGCCCUGAGCCGCUGCCCCAAAUGACAGGAAUCAGCGUUCUGCAGGGAGCUGCUGGCUGCAACUCCUCACUGUGCCUAGCAAAGUGCAUGCAGUAGCUCACCUUGCCUCAUCCCACCGAAGGCCCUUGGCACCUCCCUGGGAUGUGGAAGUGCCUACAUGACAUACCUUAGCUCUCCUGAGCAGCUCUUCUGCGAUGCAGGUGCAGCAGUGCACUGCACUGUAUCUUGAUUCCCCUCCUUAAAUUUAUUCUCAGGACUGCUAGCUCUGAAGAAAUAUUUUUCUUGACAGCGAUGUAAUGUGAUAAACACAUUUUACAUAUGCACAUUUCAGGGAAAAUCCUAAUUUUGCUACAGUCUAAAGACUCUGACUCUAAGUAUGUGUGUAUGUAAGAAUCAGCUGUUGAAAUCUACAGGCUGCAUCUCCAAACAGUUGUAUGAAAAAUGGCUUCUGUUAAAAAACACAUUUUUUCUGAUAUUCUUAAAAGUUUAUGUGUCACAUGAGAAAAUAACAUAGAACAAAUGUAAAAUCAGAUCAGCUUUAAUGCUCAAAACUAUUGCACUGCUCUUUAUAUAGUAUUGUCACAAGCACAGUUCCCCAGAAGACUCUUAAAAAAUAAUUAGAAUCCCAGUCUUUUCCCAUUAAGUCUGUUUUAUAUAAAGGUGAUAAAAAUUGUAGCUCUGGGAGUAAUCCCUCUGCAGAUCUUUAAUACUGCAGAACAUGACAGAAUCUGUGCAGUCUCACACGUUUUUAACACAUCAGCCACAGAGUCUUUUGGAGCAUUACUUGGAAAUUAAAAGUUUACUGAACAAACCCCUUUAUUCAUAAUAUUAAUAAUUUAGUUAUCUAAUACUUUAUAAGUGCUUUUGGUCAUUUUCAGAGCUGCAUAAGCCUCAAGCCAGCACCUUUCACUCACGUUAGAAGGUGCCAGGAAUCACUUUGUAAUCAACAAGCCAAAUAGAAACACAGAGGUAGUGAUAGGAACAUUUAGAAUUAAUGCAAUGUCUAGCUUUUCUACUGCUUUCUGCCUGGACACGCUACUGAAAUGCUUUUCCACGUUGGAAUGGAUAUGUAAGCAUGUUUUGACCUGUGAGCACAAUACUGUGCAACACAGCUCAUUCAGUCCUUCAAGACAGUGGUUUUCUUAUUGCAGCAUCUACCUGGGCAUCAAGGGUUUGGGGUUCUGGUCAUAACAGCUAGCUCCCCUUGUGACCUACAGGAUAUGACUUAACCUGUAAGAUUUUCCCGCUGAAAAAAUGAGAAACACUUCUUCAGGAAAACGAAGAAGAAAAAUUCCUUGGGGUUAGAACAGUAUAAAAUGGGGGAGAGGUGUGUGAAUCUAGUUUCUUUCCUACAUUACCAAGUAUUCUAAAGGCUCUUUGAAGAUAUUUGGCACUGAGAAAGGGACAAAGUGAUGCAGUAUAUUCAUUAUUUCUUCUAAGCUAGUUAGUGAAGUCAAGAAUACGUUUUACACAACCCAGCCCUACAUGUGGCUACUGAAAUAAAUGCUACUAGCACUGCACAUGUGAAGUGAUGAUAUACUGUGCUGCAAUGCCCAGACAAAAACACGGUAUUUACAUUUAUGUGUUCUGCCUUUCCAUCAAGAAAACUGGAAAAUUGCAGAAUUUGAGUACUCUGCUGCCUACCAGGAAUAAACUGUGCCUGAGGAGGAGUGUGGACUCAGCAUCGCCCAGCAGGGCCAGCAGCAUCCCUUCCUCCUGCCCACACAAACACCUCCUGAGCAAAAAGUACACUGUCGCUGAGCACUCACAGUGUCUCUUCUAGGUUUCAUCUUCAAUUUCUUUAUUUGGGGACUGUGUGGGGAUGUGAUUUGAAUAUUGGAGUGUGCAUGCCUUUAAUCUAACUAAAAAUACUGGGCAGAUCUUUUAAUUUGAUUAAAAGCCUGAAGUAUGGUCCUAAAAGCAGUUAACAUUCUGAGUGAGGUCCACUAUAACAAAGUCAUUCAAAUCUGUGAAAAAUCUGUGUCACAUUUUUAGACACACAUACUGAAUUCUUAAGUUAAAAACACGCUCAUUGCACCAGCAGAGUGCAACUCACCCUUAUGCCAAAAUAUGUUCCUUUUGCUAGGUACCGUGCAGUUAUCAGCAUGUCCCUCCCAUUUAUGACUUAAUGACAUUCGUUUAUCAACAGGUGGUGGCAUAUCUUGCAAUUACAUUUUAAGCAACAUUAAACGCAACC
rnacentral:lncRNA from 1 species